rnacentral:tRNA from 1 species
UUUAUAAAAAUAAUAAUUUUGGAGAUUAUAGAUAAAGAUUUUUCUUUUUCUUUGAAGUUUUUAAA